rnacentral:rRNA from 1 species
UGGGGAAUAUUGGACAAUGGGCGAAAGCCUGAUCCAGCAAUGCCGCGUGAGUGAUGAAGGCCUUAGGGUUGUAAAGCUCUUUUACCCGGGAUGAUAAUGACAGUACCGGGAGAAUAAGCCCCGGCUAACUCCGUGCCAGCAGCCGCGGUAAUACAGAGGUGGCAAGCGUUGUUCGGAAUUACUGGGCGUAAAGGGCGCGUAGGCGGCCUUCUAAGUCGGACGUGAAAGCCCCAGGCUUAACCUGGGAACUGCGUCCGAUACUGGGAGGCUUGGAUUCGGGAGAGGGAUGUGGAAUUCCAGGUGUAGCGGUGAAAUGCGUAGAUAUCUGGAGGAACACCGGUGGCGAAGGCGGCAUCCUGGACCGAGAUCGACGCUGAGGCGCGAAAGCUAGGGGAGCAAA